CAGAGAAUAGUUUAAAUUAGAAUAUUAGCUUUGGGUGCUGAUGGUGGAGUCGAGGACUUUUUCUCUGA
ensembl:Mt_tRNA